rnacentral:lncRNA from 1 species
UUUUCAACAAAAACAGAGAGAGAGUCUCUCAGAUUCUCUCAACACUCUCUGCCCUCGGAAUUCGGCGAGGACCCAGUCACCGGAGCACCACUGCCGCCGCCGCCGUGCACGGCAGUAGGACGCCCAAAGUUCGUCGUUUUUCGGUGAUUCCAAAGGUAAACCCCUUUUUCUUCGUUUAUUUUUGUGUUAAAAAAGAAACAAAACAGAAUAAAUAGAGAAAAAAAAAUUGGAGAAGACUCUAAAAAAUCAUCUUUGAAACUUUCGUUUUCUGUUUUCUUUUUUAUAUUCGUUUAAAAAAAAACAACAAUGAAAAUAAAGAAAAAGGAAAGAUUGAAAUAAAAAAAACCAGGAAAUCACCUUAAUUUUUGCUUUUUAUUUCUUACUGUUCGUAAAAGGGAAGAAGAAGAUUACCAGCAUCAAAUUAAGGCCUUUAUAGCCAAAAUACAAGAUUCGUUUUUGUUUUCUUUUCUGUUGUUUUUUCUUUGUUUGUCUGCUUCUGCUUGUUGGCUUCUUGCAGGUGGUGUCAGAGAAGCGUGGAGGUGACGUGCGGCAGACGUGUGAGGCCGACGAUUGGCGAGCGGCGCAGGUGGAGCGCAUGCGGCGCUGGAGGCUUAGGGCUAGGGGUUUUUUGCUGAAAAUUUUUUAGUUUUGGGCUAGAGUUCAUUAGGGUUUUGGGCCAUAUUGGGCCAUUGUAAUGGACUCAGUUUGGGCCCGGGCAAAAUGGGUUAUUACAAUAUUUAUGAUUGUUUUUAAAAUUUAUAUAUUUUGGAUAUUUAUUUAAUAUUAAAUUUUAAGAGUUGAAUAUUUGUGAAAUUAAAUAUAUAUCUUUAUACCUUUUUAUUUG